AAGACCUUGCGCUUUUGGAGCGGCCGAUGCCUGAUUAGCUUGUUGGUAAGGUAAAAGCUUACCAAGGCUUCGAUCAGUAGCUGGUCUGAGAGGACGGCCAGCCACACUGGGACUGAGACACGGCCCAGACUCCUACGGGAGGCAGCAGUGGGGAAUUUUGGACAAUGGGGGCAACCCUGAUCCAGCCAUGCCGCGUGAGUGAAGAAGGCCUUCGGGUUGUAAAGCUCUUUCAGCCGGAACGAAACGGUUACGGUUAAUACCCGUGACUACCGACGGUACCGGAAGAAGAAGCACCGGCUAACUACGUGCCAGCAGCCGCGGUAAUACGUAGGGUGCGAGCGUUAAUCGGAAUUACUGGGCGUAAAGCGUGCGCAGGUGGUUUUGUAAGUCAGAUGUGAAAGCCCCGGGCUCAACCUGGGAACU
rnacentral:rRNA from 1 species